CGAAGGGUGCAAGCGUUACUCGGAAUUACUGGGCGUAAAGCGUGCGUAGGCGGUUUGUUAAGUCCGUUGUGAAAGCCCUGGGCUCAACCUGGGAAUUGCAGUGGAUACUGGCGAGCUAGAGUGCGGUAGAGGAUGGUGGAAUUCCCGGUGUAGCGGUGAAAUGCGUAGAGAUCCGGAGGAACACCAGUGGCGCAGGCGGCUCUCUGGGUCGGCCCUGACGCUGAGGCGCGAAAGCGUGGGGAGCGAACGGG
rnacentral:rRNA from 1 species